UCAUAUUACAUUUAUCUUAAUGGGAUUCUGGUGUCAGUUAUAACUGUCUCCAGUGUGAUGUUUCUCAGCUUAGAUUCAGUGAAUUAACACUGUUAUGUUAUCAGCAAUAAUGAGAUCUGCCCGCUUCAGAAUUUUCAAGAGCUCAGAUCGUAAUGAACAAACCUUCAUACGAUCGGAAUAGUGCAAUGGAAUAACCAGCCAGAAGUCCCGCCUUAAUUCACUAGAGAACAUUUGGGACGAGCACAAAAGGCGUAUUCGCACCUAACAGCUAACACCUAGCAGCAUCGCUAAGCUAGAAGUUGCCGUAGCAAAAAAAAUGGAACAACAACGCCUCCAACAUCUUGUUAAAGGAAUUGGAAGAGGCAAAGAGGAGGCAACACAAGAUAAUGACAAAACUGGCCUUCAAUUAUCAUUGUACUAAGGCGAAGUUAGGGCUAAGAAGCCCUCUCUAACACUUAACCUGGGGACCAACGGCUU